ensembl:lncRNA
CACAGGUCUUCAGCGGAAAUAGUGUCGUGGAGGAGAGCAAGGUGGAGGAAACUGGGGAGGAGAUCGGCAUGAGCGAGCAGUCCCAGGGAGAGAUGGAGGGCGAAGAAGAACAGAGGCAGUCGGAGGAUGAAGUGGAGACGGGGCCUUGUCCUGUAGGAAAGGAGGCAUCCAAGGAUGGAGGGAUAAGUUCAAGCCUAGACGAUGUGGAGUUGGAGGGCGAUCCUCGGGGAGAAGGGGAGGGGGGGGGUGUAGUGGUUUGAAGAAGAAGCACAUGGAGAGGCAUUGGCUCCGGGUUCUGCGGGUGAAGUGGAGAUCCCGACUGUCUGAAGUCCAGGGAGGUAGAUCCUGCAAGGGAUGACUCUUAAAUAUGUAAAGGGUCUGAAGAAGAGCUGACGGAGGAAGAGAUGGAGUACAUACAAUCUCUACGGAGGGUUAGUAAAAGGAACAUGAUAAUCAAGAAGAAAAAUAAGAUAAAAGAUCAAUCAUGAUGGACUGGAUUCAUCCCCUCUUUAUAUUCAUAAUAGUGAGAGUUGUAUCUAUCAACACCAAUGGACUUCGUAGCAAAGAAAAGCUAGAGCUGGUGUUGGACGCCUUCUCUGCGGAUAUAUUAUGUCUUCAGGAGACUCAUUGGACUGAGCUGUAUAUGGAUAAUGUAAGGCAGAGAUGGAAUGGACAAAUAAGCAGAGGAAGAAGUGGACUGCAAAGAGGAUUCCUGCCACUGCCAUGCACCAAUCCUGAGACUGAAAAAAGCUGUGCAAGAGAGGGAUGAGGCACUGCAUACAAGAAGUGAGACCAACAAAUCCAUUAAAAAGGACAACCUGAAGUUGAUCUCUGAUCUGCAAAGGGUGAGGAAGAAGUACCAGCUGCUGAAAAGGCAGAUGGGGAUUGGCAUGGAUAAGGCCCUCAACUUUCAGGCAGAGUCAGACACAGACACAAAGCAAGAGGAGCAGGACCAAGCUACAGGUUCAGGGGACCAGAGAGAGGAGCCUACAGUGUCCGGAUCUAGCUGCAAACAUCUUCCCGGGCUCUGCUAUGAGUAAGUACUGUUUCUUCAAAUAGUGACAAGAGUUUGUGUUUGAAAAGAAUAUGAUAAACCACCUGGCUGAUUAAUGUAUUCUCAUGAGAUUGUAAUUAUAGUCUAAAAUGUUAUGUUUUUUUGAUUAGGUGUGUUUAUCGAGGGAUUCAGGAAGACCUGUGAGGGCCCUAAUCCAAAUUAUAAGCUGAGUGAAAAUUGUGCCUCAAAAGGUCAAGAGGUUGACGCAAUUUUUAAACUACAUGGCGAAGAAUGAGACCUACCAGUCCUCUCUCAUUUUCCUGACAGACCAUGACAAAAUAAGGAAGUAAGCAGAAUUAUUUCUUCUCUCUAGCCUCACAAGCAUUAACCAACAAUACAGUAUUUGAUUUUAUGAUUUGUGUGUGUGUGUGUGUGUGUGUGUGUGUGUGUGUGUGUGUGUGUGUGUGUGUGUGUGUGUGUGUGUGUGUGUGUGUGUUUUUAGAUGGGUUCAAUUCCUCCAGAAGAACAAGGCUAUCACCACAGUCAACCACUACACCUUGACUAUUGGUGCAUUUCUUAAAUAUUCUGAGGAGACCCCUCCACCUGGCUGCCGGCUGACCGUGAACCAAUGGAGGGGGAUCAACCGGUUGAUGAAGGGCAUUAGCAAGUCCAUGAGACGACCAGUUUCCCUUCACCAGGUAAAGGUGAAGGACAACAAGGAAGGCAAGGUGGUGUCCAAAAAGAGCCUGCUGGAGUGCCAGUCUCUUGCCAAGGCAAAAAUCCCUCAAGUGCUGAGUAAGUUUUUCUCAAUCUGUGAUGUCACUGUUUUUACACACUUAUAGACGUCAGAGAUGUAUAGAAUGCAUUAUGGAGUGGGAUUAUGAAGCUGCCUUUUUUAUUUUCAUGUUCACAGAAACAUUGGAAGAAACAAGGACAUAGAGGAAUCAGUACCGGUUUUAUGGGUACCUGUGUGCCUACUUUACAUCCAUAUACGGCCACAGACCAGGCCUAUAUAAAAACAUGUUGGUGAAAGAGGUGGAGGAGGCAAAAUGUGACCAGUCUGGGGUGUAUCUGAUCAAUGUAGGUCUAUGAAAUACAGCUGGCUGUGUUUAUUUGUUUGUUUGCUUGGUUGGUUAUCUUUGGAAACAAUUGCAGUCGCAGGAGCGUAAUGUGUUUUUUUGUGUUUUUUCUCUGUUCAAUUUCUAUUAGGUGGGGGAACACAAAACACAUCGGGAGUACGGCAUGGUCCAGAUGUCGCUGACAAAGGAGGAGUACAGUUGGUUUUCCGACUUCCUCAAAUUCAAGCACUGUCUCUUAGGGGGAAAGAAGGCCCAGCACUUCUUUUUCAAUUCCACAAACACUCAGAUGAAGAACCUGCCUGCCUACCUGAGGGAGGUGUGGAAGGAGAUGGGUCUGCUCGAAUGUCCUUCGUUCACUGACCUGAGGACCUCCAUUGUCACUCAUGUAGGUCAGAUUAGAUAGGAAUCUAAUUAUUGUAAGAUCCUAUUCUAUUGUUGUCUGAAGUAAUAUCAAUAAUAUCAUAU